rnacentral:rRNA from 1 species
UACGGGGGGGGCAAGCGUUGUUCGGAAUUACUGGGCGUAAAGGGCUCGUAGGUGGCCAACUAAGUCGGACGUGAAAUCCCUCAGCUUAACUGGGGAACUGCGUCCGAUACUGGAUGGCUCGAGUUUGGGAGAGGGAUGCGGAAUUCCAGGUGUAGCGGUGAAAUGCGUAGAUAUCGGGAAGAACACCCGUGGCGAAGGCGGCUCUCUGGGACGGUACUGACGCUGAGGCACGAAGGUCAGGGGAGCAAACGGGG